AUGAUGAAAAGAAGCCACACGACCGUCCUCGACGACCUGCCCGAGUGGAUUGUGAUCGAAGAGAUCCUCGUCUGGUUGCCCCCCAAGGACCUCUUUCGCUGUCGUGCUGUCUGCAAGUUCUGGCGCAGUGCCACCUCCACCGACAAGUUCAUGCUUGACAAUUGCCACCGCCAGCCAUCGCUCCCUGUCAUCAGACAGGAUAUCCCUGGACAGAAAGGAGUCAGGUUCGUUGUCUUCCGUGACAAAAGUGUCGGAGCCGAUCAAAAGCUCUGUCCAAUCAUCCAACACUCUAAGUUCCAUAAUCUCCUGGGCGCCUGUGAUGGCUUUCUCAUCUUGUCCAGUGAGUCUGAUUUCUGGAUCUGCAACCCGGCCACUCGCAAAUGCGCUAUACUACCGCAACCUCGGGUUCCAUCAUCAUCGGCAGGGGUUUCCCGCAUCUACAUAGCCGGAUUCUACCAGCACCAACCAUCUGGGGAAUACCGGGUGCUCUGGUUCUCACGUGGCUGCCUUCGUGGCUACAUUCUCAGGUUUGGAUCCGACAAGCCGAGAAUCAUCAGUCGGCCAUCUGUGUUAUCGCGUUUGCCGGAAUUCUGGCACCAAGGGGAAUUUGAUUCCUGCUAUAGUUCACAAGUCAACCACCGAGGCAGCCUGCACUGGUUAACAGGAAUCUACAUGGAGACUGCCGUGGACAUUAUGGUGUUUGACACAGUUACUGAGACAUUCCGGUGGAUGCGCAGUCCUGGCUGGUUGGGCCGUCGGGUGUCGUUGUUGGAGAUGGACAACAAGCUUGCUUCAUGCAUCAACAAUGAUGCCAGCAUAGAGAUUUGGGUGAUGCAAGACUAUGAGGUUGAGGCUUGGGCCUUGAAAUACCGGAUUAACUUGUUAGCGAUGAAGACAUCACCACAGUUCGAGUAUAUUUCUAAGAUGUCACUGCUUAACCAGCGUGAGCUGCUGAUCUGUUGUCACAAUCCAUUGGACGGUCCUGACUAUCUUUUGCACUGUGACAUUGACGGAAAGUUUUGGGAUAUCACGAAAUUAAAGGGGGAACGUAUUCUGUAUACUUCACUAAUCAGUACUUUCAGGAGAGCAUGA
rnacentral:rRNA from 1 species